rnacentral:misc_RNA from 1 species
UGAUGGUGGACCAUCAGAUGUCAGAGAUGAAGUGCUUCCAGGAACCACUUUGGAUGAUUCUUCAGGCUCCCAAGUGUCUCCCUCAUCAUCCUCCUUUUCAGCCUGCAAAUCUCCCUCUAUCCUCAAAGUCUUUUCAAUUGGUUCCAUUGACUCAACCUUAACCAUUGCAGUGUCUGGCAGGUCACCAUCAACAACUUCAUCAACAGAAGU